rnacentral:rRNA from 1 species
GACGAACGUUGGCGGCGUGCUUAAUACAUGCAAGUCAACUGAAGCAGUGGUAGCAAUAUCGCUGUGGAGGUGGCGCACGGGUGAGUAACACGUAGGUAAUCUGCCUUCAGGUCUGGCAUAACUCCGGGAAACCGGGGCUAAUAGCAGAUGAUGCAGCGGCUCGACAUCGAGACAGUUGUUAAAGCUAUGGCGCCUGAAGAUGAGCCUGCGUCUGAUUAGCUAGUUGGCGGGGUAACGGCCCACCAAGGCAACGAUCAGUAGCUGGUCUGAGAGGAUGAUCAGGAACACUGGAACUGAGAAAAGGCCCAGACUCCUACGGGGGGCAGAAGUAAGGAAAAUUGGUGAAUGGGUGAAAUCCUGAAGCCGCAACGCCGCGUGAGGGACGAAGGGCUUUUGGUUGUAAACCUCUGUAGUGAGAGAAAAAAAUCCCAAUCUUUGGGACAUGAUGGUACCUCAAAAGUAAGCCCCGGCUAACUACGUG